rnacentral:misc_RNA from 1 species
GCAAACUUGGUCAUUUAGAGGAAGUAAAAGUCGUAACAAGGUUUCCGUAGGUGAACCUGCGGAAGGAUCAUUAAUGAUUUUUAAAGCAAACCAAGCUUUUUUUUAAAAAAGUUAGGUUUUGCGAAUAUAUUUAAAACCCCCACUCUUUUUUAAAAAAAAAUUUUCAUUCAUAUAUUGGUUAUGAAUAAAAUAAAGAUCACUUUCAACAACGGAUCUCUUGGCUCUCGCAUCGAUGAAGAACGCAGC